rnacentral:rRNA from 1 species
GACGAACGCUGGCGGCGUGCUUAACACAUGCAAGUCGAACGGUAAGGCCCUUCGGGGUACACGAGUGGCGAACGGGUGAGUAACACGUGGGUGAUCUGCCCUGCACUUCGGGAUAAGCCUGGGAAACUGGGUCUAAUACCGGAUAGGACCACUGCCUGCAUGGGUGGUGGUGGAAAGCUUUUGCGGUGUGGGAUGGGCCCGCGGCCUAUCAGCUUGUUGGUGGGGUGAUGGCCUACCAAGGCGACGACGGGUAGCCGGCCUGAGAGGGUGACCGGCCAGACUGGAACUGAGAUACGGCCCAGACUCCUACGGGAGGCAGCAGUGGGGAAUAUUGAACAAUGGGCGCAAGCCUGAUGCAGCGACGCCGCGUGAGGGAUGACGGCCUUCGGGUUGUAAACCUCUUUCAGCACCGACGAAGCGCAAGUGACGGUAGGUGCAGAAGAAGGACCGGCCAACUACGUGCCAGCCGCCGCUGUAA